GCGGCGGAGGGUGAGUAACACGUGGGUAACCUGCCUGUAAGACUGGGAUAACUCCGGGAAACCGGGGCUAAUACCGGAUGGUUGUCUGAACCGCAUGGUUCAGACAUAAAAGGUGGCUUCGGCUACCACUUACAGAUGGACCCGCGGCGCAUUAGCUAGUUGGUGAGGUAACGGCUCACCAAGGCGACGAUGCGUAGCCGACCUGAGAGGGUGAUCGGCCACACUGGGACUGAGACACGGCCCAGACUCCUACGGGAGGCAGCAGUAGGGAAUCUUCCGCAAUGGACGAAAGUCUGACGGAGCAACGCCGCGUGAGUGAUGAAGGUUUUCGGAUCGUAAAGCUCUGUUGUUAGGGAAGAACAAGUGCCGUUCAAAUAGGGCGGCACCUUGACGGUACCUAACCAGAAAGCCACGGCUAACUACGUGCCAGCAGCCGCGGUAAUACGUAGGUGGCAAGCGUUGUCCGGAAUUAUUGGGCGUAAAGGGCUCGCAGGCGGUUUCUUAAGUCUGAUGUGAAAGCCCCCGGCUCAACCGGGGAGGGUCAUUGGAAACUGGGGAACUUGAGUGCAGAAGAGGAGAGUGGAAUUCCACGUGUAGCGGUGAAAAUGCGUAGAGAUGUGGAGGAACACCAGUGGCGAAGGCGACUCUCUGGUCUGUAACUGACGCUGAGGAGCGAAAGCGUGGGGAGCGAACAGGAUUAGAUACCCUGGUAGUCCACGCCGUAAACGAUGAGUGCUAAGUGUUAGGGGGUUUCCGCCCCUUAGUGCUGCAGCUAACGCAUUAAGCACUCCGCCUGGGGAGUACGGUCGCAAGACUGAAACUCAAAGGAAUUGACGGGGGCCCGCACAAGCGGUGGAGCAUGUGGUUUAAUUCGAAGCAACGCGAAGAACCUUACCAGGUCUUGACAUCCUCUGACAAUCCUAGAGAUAGGACGUCCCCUUCGGGGGCAGAGUGACAGGUGGUGCAUGGUUGUCGUCAGCUCGUGUCGUGAGAUGUUGGGUUAAGUCCCGCAACGAGCGCAACCCUUGAUCUUAGUUGCCAGCAUUCAGUUGGGCACUCUAAGGUGACUGCCGGUGACAAACCGGAGGAAGGUGGGGAUGACGUCAAAUCAUCAUGCCCCUUAUGACCUGGGCUACACACGUGCUACAAUGGACAGAACAAAGGGCAGCGAAACCGCGAGGUUAAGCCAAUCCCACAAAUCUGUUCUCAGUUCGGAUCGCAGUCUGCAACUCGACUGCGUGAAGCUGGAAUCGCUAGUAAUCGCGGAUCAGCUGCCGCGAAUUUCC
rnacentral:rRNA from 1 species